rnacentral:rRNA from 1 species
UACGUAGGGGCAAGCGUUGUCCGGAAUCAUUGGGCGUAAAGAGCGUGUAGGCGGCCAGAUAAGUCCGCUGUGAAAUCUCGAGGCUCAACUUCGAGCUGUCGGUGGAAACUGUCUGGCUAGAGUCCGGAAGAGGAGAUGGAAUUCCUGGUGUAGCGGUGAAAUGCGCAGAUAUCAGGAAGAACACCCGUGGCGAAGGCGGUUCUCUGGGACGGUACUGACGCUGAGACGCG